GGAUGUGAGGGCAAUCUGGCUACGAAAUCUGUCACCCCAUUGAUCGCCAGGGUUGAUUCGGCUGAUCUGGCUGGCUAGGCGGGUGUCCUCUUGCUCCCUCACCACUUCAUGUGCGUCUCUCCUGAAGCUGCGUGCUCGGUCGAAGAGGACGACCUUCCCCGAAUAGAGGAGAACUGGUCUUCGGUCAAGGGUGUACGAGUAGCUGCGCUCCUCUGCUAGAACCUCUAAACAAGCUCUCAAGGUCCAAUUCCUAAUUAUUGUGAAUAGGGCUACAAGAAACAUGGCUGAGCAAAUAUCUGUAGUAAGGAGUGGACUCUUU
rnacentral:snRNA from 1 species